GGUGACCCUCCAAAGCCAUCUCCACACCCCGUUAAACCGCCUAAACAUCCCGUUAAACCGCCUAAACCACCCACCGUUAAACCACCUCCACACACUCCGAGACCGCCAACCGUCAAGCCUCCGCACACUCCAUCCCCUCCACAUUCUUUUCCACCGUACACUCCAAAACCUCCCACUGUCAAGCCACCGCCACAGCCAACUCCAACCCCAUCCCCUCCACCACCGUACGUCAAGCCACCACCAGUGCCAACCCCAGAGACGCCAUGCCCGCCACCACCGCCACCGUCACCACCACCAACCCCAUGUCCUCCUACACCUCCAGCGCCAACCCCUGAAC
rnacentral:lncRNA from 1 species